CUGCACACUAUAGUCAGAUAUUUUUGCACAUUAAAAAAUAAAUUCGACCUCAUGUUGUGUCAAUCACGUUUACACAAUGCCUCCGGAACUUGUGUCCAUCAUAAAAAAAAAAUACUGGCUCUUAACCACUGAAAGAAUACUAGGACAUAAGAUGCGUUUCCACCACAACUCCUUUACCCAGAAACUAGGGACUUUGGGCUGGUACUCGGUGUUUUUCCACCGCAGCAAACAGGAUCUAAAUAAAGUUCCGGAAAGAAAAAUGCCCCUCAGAAAGUUCCUGCUGGUGAGGUAGUACUUUUUUCAAAGGUCCGGGCAGGACUUGCGCGCUAAACAUGCUGAUUUGUUGAGUUCCGAUGGUCGCUAAGAAGAUAGGACGCAAUGAAACCCUGUGGUCAUUGUGGUUUCUCCUUUGGUCGCACUCAUGGAGGACCAAGUAAAAGAAGCAACCGAAAUGGGCAUCACGGCGAUGCAACUCGGCGUGCACAGCGAGGUGGACAUAACCAGCGGUCGUUGUCAGCUCCUUUUCGGAAGCCCCGAAUCCUGGCUGCUGAACAAGAACUGGAGGGACAUGCUAGGCUCCGAUGUUUUUUCAAGCCAACAUAAUGGCUAUCGUCGUGGAUGAAGUUCAUCUCAUUUACAAAUGGGGUCAAGCUGCAAAAGGGUGGACGACAUUUCGUGAGAGCUUCGCCAAGUUGGGAGGACUUAGAUCCUAGUUAAAGCUGGUACACCUAUACUUGCAUUGACUGCAUCUGCUGAUCGGGAAUCCAGAGCAGGGUAAUGAAGCAGCUGCAGAUGGACAAUCCAACUACUUUGGCUAUGAGCCCUAACAGAACAAACAUCAGACUGGAUCUGAUCAAAGUCCCUGCUCAUUCCAUGACUGCCUAGACUGGAUUGUGAGGGAUGUAAAAGAAAAAAGGUUUCUCCAUGUUGCCAGUUAUUAUUUACUGCAAAACUGUCAAACAGGUUGGGAGAGUGUUCUGCCAUUUGAAUGGGGGAACUCGGUGAAGAUUCCUGGGUUGACAGAGAUCCUGAGAAAAAGAUUGAAAACCUAGGCAUGUUCCACAGCCAGACACUCCCUCACAAGAAGAACAGAGUGCGGUCAUCUCUGAGCGGACAGGGUAGCUGUAGAGUUGUUGUGGCUACAACAGCUCUUGGGAUGGGCUUAAAUGUUCCAAACAUAUC